rnacentral:rRNA from 1 species
AUAUAAGUUGUUGCAGUUAAAAAGCUCGUAGUUGGAGUUCAGGGUGAGCUCAGCUGGUCGGCCUAAUGGGUCAGAACUGGUUGACUCUCCCUUGGUUGUGGAUCCCUCCGGAGUUAAUUCUUCGGGUGUGGAGUCCACAUCGUUUACCUUGAAAAAAUUAGAGUGUUCAAAGCAGGCGUUUGCUUGAAUAUAUUAGCAUGGAAUAAUGGAAUAGGACGCUGGUUCUAUUUUGUUGGUUUUGAGAACCAGAGUAAUGAUUAAUAGGGACAGUUGGGGGCAUUCAUAUUUCAUUGUCAGAGGUGAAAUUCUUGGAUUUAUGAAAGAUGAACUUCUGCGAAAGCAUUUGCCAAGGAUGUUUUCAUUAAUCAAGAACGAAAGUUAGGGGAUCGAAGACGAUCAGAUACCGUCGUAGUCUUAACCAUAAACUAUGCCGACUAGGGAUUGGGCGUGGUUUGUUCAUUGACCCGCUCAGCACCUUACGAGAAAUCAAAGUCUUUGGGUUCCGGGGGGAGUAUGGUCGCAAGGCUGAAACUUAAAGGAAUUGACGGAGGGGCACCACCAGGAGUGGAGCCUGCGGCUUAAUUUGACUCAACACGGGAAAACUUACCAGGUCCAGACAUAGUAAGGAUUGACAGAUUGAGAGCU